rnacentral:rRNA from 1 species
UACGUAGGGUGCAAGCGUUAAUCGGAAUUACUGGGCGUAAAGCGUGCGCAGGCGGUUUUGUAAGUCUGAUGUGAAAGCCCCGGGCUCAACCUGGGAAUUGCAUUGGAGACUGCAAGGCUUGAAUCUGGCAGAGGGGGGUAGAAUUUCACGUGUAGCAGUGAAAUGCGUAGAGAUGUGGAGGAACACCGAUGGCGAAGGCAGCCCCCUGGGUCAAGAUUGACGCUCAUGCACGAAAGCGUGGGGAGCAAACAGG